CGGUGUCGUGCCAAGGUACUUACCCCUGAAAGGAAGUGUAUCCCCGGUCGCGGGAGCGCGCACGCAUUCAGCAGGAGAUGACCUGACUGACAUAUGUCACUUCUGUGGAUCAGAAGGACCCAAGGAAGAUUUGAGCUGGAUUCAGUGUGACGUUUGUUUGCGGUGGUUCCACCAUAUGUGUGUUAAAAGCCCACCAACGGAGGAGGCCUUCCUGUGUACUGCUUGUACUCC